rnacentral:rRNA from 1 species
GACGAACGCUGGCGGCGUGCCUAAUACAUGCAAGUAGAACGCUGAAGAGAGGAGCUUGCUCUUCUUGGAUGAGUUGCGAACGGGUGAGUAACGCGUAGGUAACCUGCCUUGUAGCGGGGGAUAACUAUUGGAAACGAUAGCUAAUACCGCAUAACAAUGGAUGACACAUGUCAUUUAUUUGAAAGGGGCAAUUGCUCCACUACAAGAUGGACCUGCGUUGUAUUAGCUAGUAGGUGAGGUAACGGCUCACCUAGGCGACGAUACAUAGCCGACCUGAGAGGGUGAUCGGCCACACUGGGACUGAGACACGGCCCAGACUCCUACGGGAGGCAGCAGUAGGGAAUCUUCGGCAAUGGGGGCAACCCUGACCGAGCAACGCCGCGUGAGUGAAGAAGGUUUUCGGAUCGUAAAGCUCUGUUGUAAGUCAAGAACGAGUGUGAGAGUGGAAAGUUCACACUGUGACGGUAGCUUACCAGAAAGGGACGGCUAACUACGUGCCAGCAGCCGCGGUAAUACGUAGGUCCCGAGCGUUGUCCGGAUUUAUUGGGCGUAAAGCGAGCGCAGGCGGUUUGAUGAGUCUGAAGUUAAAGGCUGUGGCUCAACCAUAGUUCGCUUUGGAAACUGUCAAACUUGAGUGCAGAAGGGGAGAGUGGAAUUCCAUGUGUAGCGGUGAAAUGCGUAGAUAUAUGGAGGAACACCGGUGGCGAAAGCGGCUCUCUGGUCUGUAACUGACGCUGAGGCUCGAAAGCGUGGGGAGCGAACAGGAUUAGAUACCCUGGUAGUCCACGCCGUAAACGAUGAGUGCUAGGUGUUGGAUCCUUUCCGGGAUUCAGUGCCGCAGCUAACGCAUUAAGCACUCCGCCUGGGGAGUACGACCGCAAGGUUGAAACUCAAAGGAAUUGACGGGGGCCCGCACAAGCGGUGGAGCAUGUGGUUUAAUUCGAAGCAACGCGAAGAACCUUACCAGGUCUUGACAUCCCGAUGCUAUUUCUAGAGAUAGAAAGUUACUUCGGUACAUCGGUGACAGGUGGUGCAUGGUUGUCGUCAGCUCGUGUCGUGAGAUGUUGGGUUAAGUCCCGCAACGAGCGCAACCCCUAUUGUUAGUUGCCAUCAUUCAGUUGGGCACUCUAGCGAGACUGCCGGUAAUAAACCGGAGGAAGGUGGGGAUGACGUCAAAUCAUCAUGCCCCUUAUGACCUGGGCUACACACGUGCUACGAUGGUUGGUACAACGAGUUGCGAGUCGGUGACGGCAAGCUAAUCUCUUAAAGCCAAUCUCAGUUCGGAUUGUAGGCUGCAACUCGCCUACAUGAAGUCGGAAUCGCUAGUAAUCGCGGAUCAGCACGCCGCGGUGAAUACGUUCCCGGGCCU